GUCCGGACCAGGAAAAACAUUGCACAAAUGGGCGGACGUUGUGUUCCACACUGUGCAAGAUUCUUUGGAGGGUUUCAGUGGAGGAGUGAUAUACUUUGGAGAAAAUACCAGUCUGGCAGCACAGGGAGAAUGGGCGGAGGGAGAGGGAGAAACCCAGACAAGAAGCUGCCGUGGUGAUCUGGGCACUGAUGAUGGCGGCUGGACCUGCCAUACAAUGGGACAUUCGAGAAACAUUUCGAGGUUGAGUGGAGAAGCAAAUGGACUCAAGAAUCCAAGAGUGGGGGCUCCAGCCUAGACAGAGCACAGGUGUCCCCUGCUCUCUGGAAGCGGAGCAUUCCUAUGAACACUUUCGAAAACCAAAGUGGCGGAAAGUGGACACAGCUUGCCGACAGAUGCACAAAAUCAAUGGAGACAAAUCACAGAUACUCAGAGACGCAGUUCAAAGCUCUGGAGGCCGGAUGCGGAGACUCGGAGUUGCUGAGGGCGGAUGAUAGCAGAAGACUGCUCGAGUCUGGCGCAUGGCUUGGGAAUGCUGUGCUCAGGAUGUGCUUCUAUCGUCUGGCAGAAUGUGAAGGACGCUCUGUAAUAACCCCUGAUAACACUGGAUCCCUUCUCCUUGGAACCACAGUCCCCUCCUAACUGAUGUUACAGGAUGAAGAAACACCCAAGGAACUCUGCCUUGGGAGGACGAAAUAAUACGACCUGGGAUCACCUUUCCCUUUGAAUCUCAAAAUGUCCUCUUCUGUCUAUAAAGGAUGCUUCACCACUUCGCAAAUGGUAAUAAAUGGUGCAAGAAUGAAAAAAAAAAUCUUUGACCUGGGCUGAUAGGACCAAGAAAUGUGAAACAUACCCAAGGGAAACUCUGACCCACUUAGGCUUCUACCAGAAAAAAAAUUGCCCCAAAUCCUCCAAAACCACCCCCUCCCCCAGCAAAUAAACAAAAAACCCCAGGAUUUCAUAGUUACUUCCUGUCCUAUUUUAAACAGGGCCUUAAAAAGACAAGUAAGAGAUAAAUUUAGCAAGGUUUACAAGUCAGAAGGACCCAUUAAGGAAGUGCACAAAAGGCCAUGUGAGGUUCUGCUAUGGAUAUUUGCAUCAACAACAACAACAACAACAGGGAAGUGGCCUUGAGUCCUGGGUCAGGACUCUCCCCCAGGGUUGGUAUAUAAGCCCCUCCCCCAGCAGGAGGCGGCACCAGACCUCCCUCACCUCCCGAGUCUCCCUCCUCCCCUCUCCCGAGUCCUCUCUGCCGACACCAUGGGGUGCUGUGGCUGCGGAAGUUGCGGCGGCUGCGGCGG
rnacentral:lncRNA from 1 species